UACGAAGGGGGCUAGCGUUGCUCGGAAUCACUGGGCGUAAAGGGUGCGUAGGCGGGUCUUUAAGUCAGGGGUGAAAUCCUGGAGCUCAACUCCAGAACUGCCUUUGAUACUGAGGAUCUUGAGUUCGGGAGAGGUGAGUGGAACUGCGAGUGUAGAGGUGAAAUUCGUAGAUAUUGGGAAGAACACCAGUGGCGAAGGCGGUCACUGGCCCGUAACUGACGCUGAGGUGC
rnacentral:rRNA from 1 species